rnacentral:lncRNA from 1 species
CCACCAGGCCAGGACUGAGCACCAGCAGUACAACAGACCCCAGCCACUGACACCCACAGUACAACAGACCCCAGGGCCAGGCCUGAAGCAACCCAGCAGUACACAGACCCCCAGGGCCAGGACUGAGCAACCCAGCAGUACAACAGACCCCAGGGCCAGGACUGAGCAACCCAGCAGUACAAC